UACAGGGGGGGCAAGCGUUGUUCGGAAUUACUGGGCGUAAAGGGCUCGUAGGUGGCCAACUAAGUCAGACGUGAAAUCCCUCAGCUUAACUGGGGAACUGCGUCUGAUACUGGAUGGCUUGAGUUUGGGAGAGGGAUGCGGAAUUCCAGGUGUAGCGGUGAAAUGCGUAGAUAUCUGGAGGAACACCGGUGGCGAAGGCGGAUCUCUGGGCCUGUUCUGACGCUGAGGCGCGAAAGCUAGGGGAGCGAACAGG
rnacentral:rRNA from 1 species